UGGGUUGACCAAAAAGUUCGUUCGGGUUUUCCCAUAAGCUGUUACAGAAAAAACCCGAACGAACUUUUUGGCCAAUCCA
rnacentral:miRNA from 1 species